rnacentral:pre_miRNA from 1 species
AAAGUACUCCCUCCGUUCCAAAUUACUCAUCGCAGAAAUGGAUGUAUCUAGAACUAAAAUACAUCUAGAUACAUCCAUACCCGCGACAAGUAAUUCGGAACGGAGGGAGUACACU